AAAACUGUCCACCAAUCAACGCCCUCAUGUCUUCCUCCACCUGGCCUGCCAUUGGUGCGUCGCGGGAAGAAGGGAGGCAGCGAAGGUAUAUAAGGCGCGCUGAGGGACACACCCGUCAGAGUGAUCCUGGACUCCAAGGUGACAGGACGUGGAGGAGCGCUGGUCACUGAUCCCUUACUUCGCUUCUAACGUGACGGAAAGGUGUGCUAGGAUGGCCGGGGGCGUCACCUGUACUGGCAGUGAUGGUGGUAGUCAGCGCCGUCGCAAUCCUCCACGCCGCCCAUGGCCUCCCGCAACCAAACCCACGCCCACAAGUGCAGCCACUCCACCCCCUCACCGACCAGCGCCUCUACCUCAUCACCCUGGGAGAAAGAACCGGGGAGUGGGGGAACUGACGGGGACGAGACCCUUCAGGAACCCCAACAACCCUUGAGGGAGGUUAGAAAACGGGCUCUUCUCACUCUCCUCGCCGUUAAGCCACGCCCGCACGCCCACUACCCCGCCCGCCAGUACAACGUCCUCCCACAGCCAGAGGGAAGCAAGAGGCCCUACGGUACCCUGCGAUUUGGGAGAUAACUUCACCGCCUACUUCAGGAUACUUCUGCAGGAUAUUCCCUUAUUUAGGACUCCCGGCGAGGUGCUGAUUAUGUCUCUGGCUCCCGGGGGUCCUCGGAAUCUCAUCUCCCCGCUCGUGCAAGGGUACAGUUCUGCUCCUUAAGGAUACAGAAUUAGUAGGAUAUAUUUAUAGUCUCAGGAUUUCUGCGUCUUUUUUUUUUUUUUUGUUGUUCUUUGUUACGUUGUUCAAUUCUUUUCUUUUCUCUUUUUUUUUUUUCCUCCUUCUCUCCUUCUUCUUCUUCUUCCUUCUUUCACGUACUCCUCCAAUGUACAUUCUCUCCUACAUCUCCUUACUCACAUGGGUCUUCUCUUCUCACCCUCCCCACCACCACCACCACCUCCUCCUCCUCUUCUUCCUUCAACAUACGUCUUCCACUCUCUCCUCUUCCUCCUUUUACUCCAAACACUUUUGCUAUUAUCUUUCGUUUCCUCCUCCUCCUCCUCUUCCUCAUGCCUUUCACUCAUUACUCCUCCCCCUCCUCCUCCUUGUCCUCCUCCUCCUCCCCCUCCUCCUCCCCCACGCCCUCCACAGACACGCCUCUCCCUCGUCACUCGUCACCGUCUUGAAUUAUACGAAAAGUUCUCUCUUGAAGGAACGAAGAAAGAAACAGAGAGAAAGAGAGAGAGAAAAAAAAGGAAGAGUGAAGAACUUUUAUUUAUUGUAGUUGUCUACGUAUUUAUUAUUGCUACUGUAACUUAUCUCACAACUUCGAGGACUAACCUAACCUAAUUAACUAAACCUAACCUAACCUAACCAAACCAAACCAAACCUAACUUAACCAAACCAAACCUAACCAAACCAAACCUAACCUAACCUAACCUAACCUAACCAAACCUAACCUAACCUAACCUAACCUAACCUAACCUAACCUAACCAAACCAAACCUAACCUAACCUAACCUAACCUAACCUAACCAAACCAAACCAAACCUAACCUAACCUAACCUAACCUAACCUAACCUAACCUAACCUAACUAAACCUAACCUAACCUAACCUAACCUAACCUAACCUAACUAAACCUAACCUAACCUAACCUAACCAAACCUAACCUCACCUAACUUAACUUGACGUAACCUCACCUAACCUAACCAAAUCACACCUGACCUGACCUGACCUAACCUAACCUCAGCUAACCACACCUCGCCAAACCUCAACUCACCCCACACACACACAACGCUACACAAAACACUUCAUUAUUUAUUUAAAUUGAGGCUGUGAUGGAGACUAAGGAGAGAGACACUCGGGAGAAAAUAAAUAAAUAGAUAAAUAAAAAUAUAUUUGUACAGAAUAACUCAAACCUAAACUACUGUUAUAAUUUCAAACAACCCGGAGGAAAAGAAAUUCUAUUGGUGUGUUAAUUUAAUGAUCUUGUAAGUCAUUCCUUCUACUUUUAUUCUUCACUACUCGAUAAAAUUACCUUGAACCAC